GUGAGGAAUAUUGGUCAAUGGGCGAGAGCCUGAACCAGCCAAGUCGCGUGAAGGAAGAAGGAUCUAUGGUUCGUAAACUUCUUUUGCAGGGGAAUAAAGUGCGGGACGUGUCCUGUUUUGUAUGUACCCUGAGAAUAAGGAUCGGCUAACUCCGUGCCAGCAGCCGCGGUAAUACGGAGGAUCCGAGCGUUAUCCGGAUUUAUUGGGUUUAAAGGGUGCGUAGGUGAGUUGAUAAGUCAGCGGUGAAAGUUUGCAGCUUAACUGUAAAAAUGCCGUAGAAACUGUCGGACUUGAGUGUAAAUGAGGUAGGCGGAAUGCGUGGUGUAGCGGUGAAAUGCAUAGAUAUCACGCAGAACUCCGAUUGCGAAGGCAGCUUACUAAGCUACAACUGACACUGAAGCACGAAAGCGUGGGGAUCAAACAGGAUUAGAUACCCGUGUAGUCC
rnacentral:rRNA from 1 species